UGGCUCAGUGGUAGAGCGCUUGCCUAGCAAGCGCAAGGCCCUGGGUUCGAUCCCCAG
rfam:Rattus norvegicus chromosome 5, whole genome shotgun sequence.